ACCGUGUAAAAGACAGAUGCAUCAAAAUAGAUCCGUUAUUUUGUAUUCUAUUAAUAGGAUAUACCUCAUCUUACAGUGCUCUCAGACGAGAAACACGCAGUAAAGGAUAAGACGUUUUGGGGAACAAUUGGACAACAAGUGAAAUAAUACGUUGCAGAUCGCUCAACAUGGCUAGCUGUUCAAGAAUCUUUAUAUUCCUGUUCAUGAAACUCUUGGAUCUUUUUCUGGACUGGAAUUUUUACUUAGAGAUCGAAAAAACCGACCUUAUUGCCCAAGAAUUAAAAUACUGUAUUCUUGGUUUCGCCAUCCUUGGAUCGCUGUUAUUUAUGGCAACGGUAUUCAGCAAGUAUGUCGACGUCACUUCGGAAGACGAUCUCAUGUAUAACAAAGAAAUGAAUGACGAAUGGGAUGCAUUUCUUUCCUUGCUAUCCACGUUUUUUGAAGAUCUUCCACAAAUCAUACUAGCACUGGUUGUUGCACUUAAUACGAAAAGUUUGCUCUCUUUUGUUCAAAUUGCAAAGGCCAUUUAUGGAAUUAUUGAACCGAUGAUCCAGAUGAAGUUGAAUGAGAGAGAGUACUCGAAAUUGAGAAAAACUACUUCUACCAAAUGGUACAAAGACGUUGAAUGUUUUGGUCAUGUCGUCAUCAUGAUCGUUUCCUUUAUUUUGUUCAUAGAUCUUCUCUAUCAUCUCUGAAGAUAUCUUUUAUGAGAGCUUAAUUGACAGAUAAUAGUAUACCGUCUAAGAAAAGGGCCCACAAGAAGGUAUUAUAUACAAUUAUAUAUAAAUGAAACAUGUAUAAGAACAGUUAAAAAUAGAUUGGUUGUCACCAGCUUUAAGUGUAUGCAAUGUUUGUUAGUCUGUUGAAAAGAGUACGUAAAAUGUAUUAUAUAUACUGAUUUUUGAUGAAAAAUAAUGUGCAUGAUAUUACAAAUAAAAACACGACUUGUA